UACAGCACUCGGCACCAGGGGUCUCUCCAAGACCGACCUCAGACUCAGCGAUAUGCUGGAAGGAUCCACAGGAUUCAGAAGCCAUGUUUCCACAGUUAUGAUUUAUCACACCAAAAAUGGAUGCAUUAAGCUCAGCAAGGGGAAAGGGCACACAGAGCAAAGUCCAGGAGAAAUAAACGCAAGCUUCCAGGCGUCCCUUCCCAGUAGAGUUGCGCAGGAUGCACUUAACUCUCCAAUAAUGAUACAUGACAACACAGGCAAAGUGUCGCCAACCGGGGAAGCUUUAGUGUCCAGGUCUGGUGCUGGAGGUCAGCCAUGUAGGCAUGCAGCACCCACGGGACUGACCUCAGCUACUCAUGCUCCAGCCUCCACUACACACCAGAAAUGGAUGUUUAUAAUACAUCCUAUUAUUAGAGUAAAUUAUGUGGUCAAAGUUGUAUAGCGUGGCCCAAGGCCUCAGGCACACAAAACACUCUUACCAGGCAGAACAUUCCCAAGGCUCAGUGCUUAGCUCUUAGGAACCAGCCAAAAGUCAGUCCUGGAAAUAGACCUCUUUGGGGAAUGUGCAGGGUUGGAACAACCCAGGCAUCAUGAGUUAACCCUUUCCUGCACAAGCACUUAUCACCAUCUGCCUUCUAGCAUGGUACUUUGUGUACAGGUGGUCUCCGUUGCUGAUUGUGAAUUCCUGGAGGAUGAAACCACAUUUUACUCAUCUAUGAAUUCCGCCAUAGUCCCUAGCACAAUAGCAGAUGUUAUGUAGACCUGGAAAACGAAUAGGCCUUGGAGAACUGAGGCCUUGGUUUAUGUCUGAUAAAGUUCAGCCAUUAAUUCUAAAACUACAGUUGUAUUUUUAUGCUCUUCUUAGCUUAUUAGAGACUGCUACCUGGCAUAUAAAUCUGCUCAGAAUUUCUUAUGAAUUACUUUUGGAUUCAGGCAAGUGAAGCGUUCUACAAACAUUUGCAUGUUAUUGGAAUUGUAUAAGAAUGUUUGACCUAAAAUAUUUUAAUACCACAAAACUGAGAAUAUUUUAGAGGUAUUAGAAUGAAUUUCAGUGAUAUUCAGGACAUUGCCAGCAGAACUUGGAGCCAAUUGAGUGCAGGCAGGUUCAAAUGAAAUGAACAGAGGAAGAAAAACAUCCUUUGAGCCUGCCUUGCUCCCAGCAAAACUUGUUUGUGCACAAACAAACAAAACGUUAAUCCAUCUUUAUUGUCGCAGAGAUCCUUUUACCAACUAAAUUUUUCCUGAAUAAUUCCUUCAAAAAUGCCCUCUCGAAAGUCCUCUAAUUUCCCAUUCUUCCUGUCAGUGUUCACAGCUCCUUUCUGCAAAAAGGGAAGGGAAGGCCUUCUGUUCCUUGGAGACGGCCUUCCAUUAAACAACUAUCAACAUGUUUUUAUUUCUUUUUGGAAGAUUCCCACCACUUUGUUGAACUCCAUCCCAUUACUAUACCCUUCAUUCUGUCAGUUUCUGGUCCAGAACCUGGCAGGGACUCCUGAUUUUACAAUGAUGCUCUGAGCACUCAAAACCCAGGUGCCAAGAUUGUUUUAUGGCAAAUUGUGAUGUCCUCGGGCUGAGUAUCUGGCCCAAAUAUUUAUAUGCACACAACCUGUCUCUCUCUUGGCUUGUCAUAAACAACAGCAUGCGGGACAGAUAAAGCAGAAACAAAGGUUUCUGUUCUUACGGAGGAAGGUAGAAUUAAGGCUCUUUGUUGAGACAGCAUAAAGGUGGAUGAAACCAAGACAGCCUCUAGCUUUAAGUGCCGUGGAUCCUUCUCCAGGCCCAUGUGUGACAUUUGUGAAGGAUACUCUUGCUGACUAUUUCAAGCAACAGGACACAAUUAUUUUAAACCUAACAAUAUUUUUAGUAAUCAGGGCAAUAGACCACAUGUUGACCUUUUAUGAAAUGCACAGAAAUGCCAAAAAAAAAAAAAA
rnacentral:lncRNA from 1 species